ensembl:snRNA U6 U6 spliceosomal RNA
AUUAAAAAUAAAAAUAAAAAUUGGAAGGUUACAGAGAUUAGCAUGGCCCCUGCUCAAGGAUGCCACGCAAAUUUGUGAAGUGUUCUAUAUUUAA